UACAGAGGGUGCAAACGUUGUUCGGAAUUACUGGGCGUAAAGCGCGUGUAGGCGGCACUGUAGGUCGGAUGUGAAAUCCCGUGGCUCAACCAUGGAAGUGCAUUCGAAACCGCAGAGCUAGAGUAUCGGAGAGGAAGGUGGAAUGCUUGGUGUAGAGGUGAAAUUCGUAGAUAUCAAGCGGAACACCGGUGGCGAAGGCGGCCUUCUGGACGAUUACUGACGCUGAGACGCGAAAGCGUGGGUAGCAAACAGG
rnacentral:rRNA from 2 species